GCGGUCGUAGCUCAGCUGGUUAGAGCGUUGGAUUGUGGAUCCAAAUGUCGCGGGUUCGAGCCCCGUCGAUCGCC
rnacentral:tRNA from 1 species